rnacentral:rRNA from 1 species
UCCGUAGGGUGCAAGCGUUAAUCGGAAUUACUGGGCGUAAAGCGUGCGCAGGCGGUGAUGUAAGACAGAUGUGAAAUCCCCGGGCUCAACCUGGGAACUGCAUUUGUGACUGCAUCGCUGGAGUACGGCAGAGGGGGAUGGAAUUCCGCGUGUAGCAGUGAAAUGCGUAGAUAUGCGGAGGAACACCGAUGGCGAAGGCAAUCCCCUGGGCCUGUACUGACGCUCAUGCACGAAAGCGUGGGGAGCAAACAGG